UAAAUUUCAGGUUUUCAUAAUUUUCUCCAUCCUUUCUGUUGCUGUAGGACCGCUGCCCAUCACCACUACACUACAUCUAUCAUCUGAUAAAUGAUCCAAAGUUUCACCACUGACCCUCUCACACUCUAGAUGAAUUAACUAAUUAUCAACUCAUCUGAUUCUUAGCCAAGCUUCAUAGAUCUGAGAAAAAUCAAACACCGAAAUGAAUUUUUUUUAAAAGUCGCACAGUUCAGGUCAAAAUCCCAGUUAUGUACACUCUAAGGAAUUGGAUAGAGAGUCAAAGAUUUAGCGACUACAUGAAAAUAACCUUUACCUACAAACUUUUCUCCAAUGCAAUAUUGUAAAAAUUCCGGUGAUGUACACGAUUGAGAUUUUUAAAGAGAUCCAAAGAUUCGGCGAUUACAUGAAAAAUCAACUUUACCUAUAGACUUUUUCUCCGGCGCAAUUUUGUUAGUAUCUAUGAUUCUUUCACUUUUUAUAUUUUAUUGGUAUUUCAUGUCUUGUAUGGUAAGUGUUUUUAUUUACCAAGGUAUAUAUUUUUUAUAGUGUAUCUGCAUUUUCUUUAUAUUUUUAUAGUUUUGCUUUUUCAAUAAUUUGAUUCUGUUACUUUUUUAUUUUCUAUGAUUUUUCUAUAUAGUGAAUGUUUGUUAUUUAAUUGCUAAUUUAUAUUGCUUAUUUUUCAUUGUUUUAGAUGUAUUCAACAUUAAGUAUUUACUACCAGUCACAUUUUUGAGGAUGUUUUUGUUGUUGGAACUUGUUAUAUGUUUGUGAAACUUUUAUCCAUCGCUCAUUAGACAAUCAUCAUUCGUUGACCAUUAUUUUAAAUUGUUACACUUUGUUUGUAACGUGACUAAAAAGAAUUAUCUAUAGCUUAUUAUAGAUAAUAAUGAUUCAUUUGAUUCUUUUAAUAUAAAAAAUAAUGAAUUUUUUGUCAAAGGCGGAUGAUGAAUUUUAUUUAUUUUUUUCAAUUUUAAGGCCUCACUCAGACAUAAAAAAAUGAGC
rnacentral:lncRNA from 1 species